GGGUCCCAGUCAUGUCUUUCAUCAUGGCGCCAUUGUUGCUGGAAUACAUUUUGGUUUCUCUAGUCGGUUACCAUAUCUUCUCGUAAUUUAUCGUCCUUCUUUGUGUUUGACGUUCCGCCCCUUCCUACGCUAUGGUUAAGCGGCUGCAAG